rnacentral:snoRNA from 1 species
AUCCCAUGAUUUGGACACUUCCUCAUCAAUUCCUUAAAUUUGUUCCAGGCCUCUUGAUAGCUUUCCCCAUCUUUCUUCUGAAAGGUUUGAAUUUCCAAUAUGAUUUU